rnacentral:rRNA from 1 species
AUUGAACGCUGGCGGCAGGCCUAACACAUGCAAGUCGAGCGGAUGAAGGGAGCUUGCUCCUGGAUUCAGCGGCGGACGGGUGAGUAAUGCCUAGGAAUCUGCCUGGUAGUGGGGGAUAACGUCCGGAAACGGGCGCUAAUACCGCAUACGUCCUGAGGGAGAAAGUGGGGGAUCUUCGGACCUCACGCUCUCAGAUGAGCCUAGGUCGGAUUAGCUAGUUGGUGGGGUAAAGGCCUACCAAGCCGACGAUCCGUAACUGGUCUGAGCGGAUGAUCAGUCACACUGGAACUUAGACACGGUCCAGACUCCUACGGGAGGCAGCAGUGGGGAAUAUUGGACAAUGGGCGAAAGCCUGGUCCAGCCAUGCCGCGUGUGUGAAGAAGGUCUUCGGAUUGUAAAGCACUUUAAGUUGGGAGGAAGGGCAGUAAGUUAAUACCUUGCUGUUUUGACGUUACCAACAGAAUAAGCACCGGCUAACUUCGUG